rnacentral:rRNA from 1 species
CGUGAGUGAUGAAGGCCGUUAGGGUUGUAAAGCUCUUUUGGCAGGGACGAUAAUGACUGUACCUGCAGAAUAAGCCCCGGCCAACUUCGUGC